rnacentral:rRNA from 1 species
UACAGAGGUCUCGAGCGUUAGGCGGAAUCACUGGGCUUAAAGCGUGUGUAGGUGGAUCGUUAAGUACCUUGUGAAAUCCCACGGCUUAACCGUGGAACUGCUUGGUAUACUGGCGGUCUUGAGCCAGCUAGGGGCUACCGGAACAAAUGGUGGAGCGGUGAAAUGCGUAGAUAUCGUAAGGAAGACCAGUGGCGAAGGCGGGUCUCUGGACAGUUCCUAGA